rfam:Ciona savignyi cont_28412, whole genome shotgun sequence.
GGUAGCGUGGCCGAGCGGUCUAAGGCGCUGGUUUUAGGCACCAGUCAUUUCGAUGGUGUGGGUUCGAAUCCCACCCGCUGCCA